GACGAACGCUGGCGGCGUGCCUAAUACAUGCAAGUAGAACGCAGUUGCGAACGGGUGAGUAACGCGUAGGUAACUGCCUGGUAGCGGGGGAUAACUAUUGGAAACGAUAGCUAAUACCGCAUACUACCAGAUGGACCUGCGUUGUAUUAGCUAGUUGGUGGGGUAACGGCCCACCAAGGGAACGAUACAUAGCCGCCCUGAGAGGGGGAUCGGGCACACGUGGACUGAGACACGGCCCAGAAUCCUACGGGAGGCAGCAGGAGGGAAUCUUCGGGAAUGGGGGGAACGCUGACCGAGCAACGCCGGGGGAGGUAAGAAGGUUUUCGGGUCGUAAAGCUCUGUUGUUAAGGAAGCGGUACUUAACCAGAAAGCGACGGCUAACUACGUGCCAGCAGCCGCGGUAAUAC
rnacentral:rRNA from 1 species